UUAAGCGUGUAGGCUGGUUUUCCAGGCAAAUCCGGAAAAUCAAGGCUGAGGCGUGAUGACGAGGCACUACGGUGCUGAAGCAACAAAUGCCCUGCUUCCAGGAAAAGCCUCUAAGCAUCAGGUAACAUCAAAUCGUACCCCAAACCGACACAGGUGGUCAGGUAGAGAAUACCAAGGCGCUUGAGAGAACUCGGGUGAAGGAACUAGGCAAAAUGGUGCCGUAACUUCGGGAGAAGGCACGCUGAUAUGUAGGUGAAGUCCCUCGCGGAUGGAGCUGAAAUCAGUCGAAGAUACCAGCUGGCUGCAACUGUUUAUUAAAAACACAGCACUGUGCAAACACGAAAGUGGACGUAUACGGUGUGACGCCUGCCCGGUGCCGGAAGGUUAAUUGAUGGGGUCAGCGCAAGCGAAGCUCUUGAUCGAAGCCCCGGUAAACGGCGGCCGUAACUAUAACGGUCCUAAGGUAGCGAAAUUCCUUGUCGGGUAAGUUCCGACCUGCACGAAUGGCGUAAUGAUGGCCAGGCUGUCUCCACCCGAGACUCAGUGAAAUUGAACUCGCUGUGAAGAUGCAGUGUACCCGCGGCAAGACGGAAAGACCCCGUGAACCUUUACUAUAGCUUGACACUGAACAUUGAGCCUUGAUGUGUAGGAUAGGUGGGAGGCUUAGAAGUGUGGACGCCAGUCUGCAUGGAGCCGACCUUGAAAUACCACCCUUUAAUGUUUGAUGUUCUAACGUUGACCCGUAAUCCGGGUUGCGGACAGUGUCUGGUGGGUAGUUUGACUGGGGCGGUCUCCUCCUAAAGAGUAACGGAGGAGCACGAAGGUUGGCUAAUCCUGGUCGGACAUCAGGAGGUUAGUGCAAUGGCAUAAGCCAGCUUGACUGCGAGCGUGACGGCGCGAGCAGGUGCGAAAGCAGGUCAUAGUGAUCCGGUGGUUCUGAAUGGAAGGGCCAUCGCUCAACGGAUAAAAGGUACUCCGGGGAUAACAGGCUGAUACCGCCCAAGAGUUCAUAUCGACGGCGGUGUUUGGCACCUCGAUGUCGGCUCAUCACAUCCUGGGGCUGAAGUAGGUCCCAAGGGUAUGGCUGUUCGCCAUUUAAAGUGGUACGCGAGCUGGGUUUAGAACGUCGUGAGACAGUUCGGUCCCUAUCUGCCGUGGGCGCUGGAGAACUGAGGGGGGCUGCUCCUAGUACGAGAGGACCGGAGUGGACGCAUCACUGGUGUUCGGGUUGUCAUGCCAAUGGCACUGCCCGGUAGCUAAAUGCGGAAGAGAUAAGUGCUGAAAGCAUCUAAGCACGAAACUUGCCCCGAGAUGAGUUCUCCCUGACCCUUUAAGGGUCCUGAAGGAACGUUGAAGACGACGACGUUGAUAGGCCGGGUGUGUAAGCGCAGCGAUGCGUUGAGCUAACCGGUACUAAUGAACCGUGAGGCUUAACCUU
rnacentral:rRNA from 1 species